AGUGAACGCUGGCGGUAGGCCUAACACAUGCAAGUCGAACGGCAGCACAGUAAGAGCUUGCUCUUACGGGUGGCGAGUGGCGGACGGGUGAGGAAUACAUCGGAAUCUACUUUUUCGUGGGGGAUAACGUAGGGAAACUUACGCUAAUACCGCAUACGACCUACGGGUGAAAGCAGGGGAUCUUCGGACCUUGCGCGAUUGAAUGAGCCGAUGUCGGAUUAGCUAGUUGGCGGGGUAAAGGCCCACCAAGGCGACGAUCCGUAGCUGGUCUGAGAGGAUGAUCAGCCACACUGGAACUGAGACACGGUCCAGACUCCUACGGGAGGCAGCAGUGGGGAAUAUUGGACAAUGGGCGCAAGCCUGAUCCAGCCAUACCGCGUGGGUGAAGAAGGCCUUCGGGUUGUAAAGCCCUUUUGUUGGGAAAGAAAAGCAGCAGGUUAAUACCCCGCUGUCCUGACGGUACCCAAAGAAUAAGCACCGGCUAGCUUCGUG
rnacentral:rRNA from 1 species